GGGGCCAUAGCUCAGCUGGGAGAGCGCCUGACUGGCAGUCAGGAGGUCAGCGGUUCGAUCCCGCUUGGCUCCACCU
rnacentral:tRNA from 1 species